rnacentral:lncRNA from 1 species
GAUGUGGGGAGCGCCUCUGCCCCACCGCCCUGUCUGGGAAGAAAUUGUGAGCAGCAGCUCUAGAAAUACUGCAGGAUUCACCAGCCAAAACUGAUCUCUGCCAAUCAGUUCUGUGAGGCAAGACUCCAGGGUAGGUCUGGACCUACAUAAAGCCUCCAAAAAAGGUCUCCUUAUUUAUCAUCCAAGUACCAGAAAACUGGAUAAACUCUCAUCUGAGUACCAACCAAAGAUACCUCUUGUAUGAGAGGAUGAACAAAAACACAGGAUGACUGAUUUCUCUUACACCGAGACAGAAGCAGAAUUAAUCACUCUUGUCAACCUGACACAACUCUGCUCUGGAUAUUCCCAAAUGCCUCAAAGACACCUAGGUGAUUGUGAGAGAAUUCCCAGUGACCAUGGGCUGAUGUCUCAAUAAGCCAGGCUGGAGAGACUCAAUGAUAAGCCAGGCUGGAGAGACUCAAUGAUAAGCCAGGCUGGAGAGACUCAGGCUGACUCUAAGUAGAAAAUGGAACUGCCUUGGUGGAGCUCAAGAACCUGGAUCACCCAUUCUGAUUUGCUAGCAUUUGGGUAAGAGAAAGAAUGAAAAUAUUCUACUCCAGUAUCACAUUUUACAGGUAAAUAUAGUUGUGCACAUGGCUCUGGCUAUUUUGUGGACUUGAUGUCUCACUCCUAAGAUGUUUAUUUACACUUACAGAUUCUACCAUCAGAUUCUAUUUCCUCCUGGACACUCUUACAGUCUGACCCUUUUUUGUAAACCCCAGGCAGAAGCCAUACCUUAUCUGCAGAUUCUAGGUAGGACCCACCUGGUUCUGCAUCCUUUGGUGUUACAGCAAGUGGAGUACAAUCAGAGAAGAGAUCCCCUAAUAGAGGCUGCUCUAGCACUUUCUAAGUAUUAAGCCUACAUGAAAAAAAAAAAAAAGCUGACACAACAUGAAUGUAAGUAGACAGUUUAUUUGGGUGAAGUUUAAGGAUUAUAACCUGGGAGCAAAGACUGAAGUUGCCUAGAAUCUACACUUUCAUUAACAGCAGUUGCAAGAGGAGUUGUGAAGACAAAAACAAAGGGACAGAGAGUGGGCUGAUAGAGUUGUCAGAAAUUUUUAUUUAAAGAAGUAACAUUGGUUAUUGAUUGGACAUAUAUCAUUAUGGUUUAGGGUAUGAGAUACAGUGUCCAAUGUGGUAUUAUCAGUUUAAUAUACAUCUACUUGUGGCAAUAGUGAACAGUUUCAAGAGAUGAAUACAUAUUUCAAAGGAGGAGAAAGGCGUAACUGCACUUUCAUUUCAAUGUCUGAGUUUGAUAACCAAAAGGACUUGCAUUUUUAGAUAAAAAUUUUCUAUUUCCCAAAUCUCAAGACCUAGAUACAAAAUGUAGAGCUGCAGAUUUAGGGCCCGAAUGGCUGGAGUAGCAGCAGGUGUUACCUGCACAUUUGUGAACAUUUUACCAAGAGAAAAAAGGGGAAAGUGAAGAUUCUCAUGUCUGAAUGUGUACUCAAUGAAAACGUUACUCUGAUUAGGUUUGUGGGCCCCAUGGUCUCUGAAUCAGUUUAAGGUCUGAAGAUACAAGAGUCAUUGAGAUAAAACUAUUGAUUGUUGCCCUGUGAAGUUGGUAGAAAUUUGGUUUAGUCUCUCUAGAAGUGACUGUAGAGGACUAUAGAUACCAAAUAGGCAGAAACACAGUUCUGCUUGCAUAUUUAGGGGACAGCAUGCACUUUGUUGCACAAGUGUGAGUUGACUGGAAGUCUGAGAGGGAAAGUCCCCUCUAGAGUAAAUUCCAGUUGGCACCUUAUGUGUUUAUAUCAUGUCUGGUAAUUAUAGACAGUGUUUGGAAAUAACAAAAGAAUGUUCUCCAGCCCCAGAAAAACUCCACAAUAGAACAGAAAGAAAACUGUUUUAUGUGACAUGCAUCAUAGUCAAUCUGCUUAAGAGACUGCAGAGACAGAAAGAUGGUCACCAAAAUUAGUCCACAAGUAGAAUUUCCAGAACCAUGUCAUACAUAGUUCAUCCUAAAUUCACAUGGAGAUUGAAGAGGCCAUCUGUAUAUGCUAAUUGUUUAUAUUCAAUAACAAAAAAACUUUUCACACCUUCAUAACAGGAGGUAGUUUAGCAGCUUGAAGCCAGGUACUUGCUGAAGGUAGGUUUUCACUCUGCUACAAAAAUGGUUGAAAAGCAUUCUAUCCUUUUGGCUAUUUACAUUUUACAGCAGUGGCUCUGUGUUCCAUGGCAUUGGGCUACAGCACUUUCUUGCUUUUUCCUGGUUGCUAGUGU